GCAUUAAUGGGGUAGUGGUAACCUGGGUCGUUGCCAUUGUCGAAAUAUCUGACUUUUGUCGACCCGCCGGGGGUUCGAUUCCCCCUUAAUGCA